AAUGAACGCUGGCGGCGUGCCUAACACAUGCAAGUCGAACGAGAACGGUUAGCUUCGGUUAACUUAGUACAGUGGCGCACGGGUGAGUAACGCGUGGGUAAUCUACCUUUAGGUCCGGGAUAACGUUUCGAAAGAGGCGCUAAUACGGGGUAUGACCACAGUAUCUUCGGAUAUAGUGGUAAAAGGGGCUUUCGGGCCUUGCCUGAAGAUGAGCCUGCGUGACAUUAGAUUGACGGUGGGGUAAUGGCCUACCGUAUUGUCUACGAUGUCUAGCUGGUCUGAGAGGAUGAUCAGCCACACUGGGACUGGAACACGGCCCAGACUCCUACGGGAGGCAGCAGUGAGGAAUUUUGCGCAAUGGGGGAAACCCUGACGCAGCAACGCCGCGUGAGUGAUGAAGGCCUUUUGGUUGUAAAGCUCUGUCGCCUGGGAAGAACCUUUGGGAUAGGAAAUGAUCUCAAACUGACGGUACCAGGAAAGGAAGGACCGGCUAACUCCGUGCCAGCAGCCGCGGUAAUAC
rnacentral:rRNA from 1 species